rnacentral:rRNA from 1 species
UGCCAGCAGCCGCGGUAAUACGGAGGUUGCAAGCGUUAUCCGGAUUUAUUGGGUUUAAAGGGUGCGUAGGCGGGACGAUAAGUCAGUGGUGAAAACCUGCAGCUUAACUGUAGAACUGCCAUUGAUACUGUCGUUCUUGAGUAUAGUUGAGGUGGGCGGAAUGUGUAGUGUAGCGGUGAAAUGCUUAGAUAUUACACAGAACACCGAUUGCGUAGGCAGCUCACUAAACUAAAACUGACGCUGAGGCACGAAAGCGUGGGGAUCAAACAGGAUUAGAUACCCUGGUAGUCCACGCUGUAAACGAUGAUUACUCGAUGUGUGCAAUAUAUCGUACGCGUCUAAGCGAAAGCAUUAAGUAAUCCACCUGGGGAGUACGUCGGCAACGAUGAAACUCAAAGGAAUUGACGGGGGCCCGCACAAGU